UGCUCAUAGUUUUCUUUAACAUAUAUUUGUUGACACAUUCUACCAGGUCAGAGAGGCAGCCAUUGGGUGAUCUAUCCCAAAUCUCAUAGAAGCUCCAUGUCCGGAUGAAGAGAAGGUCCCAGACAGAUGGAGCUGCCUCUUGGGAGGUAGAAUUUGCAGUUCUCACCACUGACUGCUCAGGCCAAAACAUCAUUUCUGUCAGAAGAUACCUCGAACUGAAAACAAAAAAACACACAAACAGUCCUGAGGACCAGGAGGACCGUAUGGGACCUAGUGGACACGAGGGCCAAGUGCAUUGUAGUGUGAGUGUGACUGGACAAGGACUUGGUUUAGACCAUCCUCUAGCUCUGCUGUCUUUGCUGUGUAGAUGUAGCCUAACAGAAGAAUAAGACAAAGUAGAUCUACUGAGUCAGUAAUUACACGCAAGAGUGGGGAAAAUGUUAAAUGAUAGUAUUCAUGAGUGAAGAAGGAUAUUGGGCACGAACUUUAGGAUGAUGGUGAUGAUAGUGACAAUGAUGAUGAAGUGGGGUGAGGAAAGAAAAAGACAUAAUAUCCUAUUAGUUCAAAUAAUCUCUUUAAGCUUAAUCUGUUGUUAUUUAUGAUGGGAUAAGUGGCUGAUUGGGAACCAAAACAUGUUUUGGAUUUCUCUGUAUACAAUGCUUCUAUCAUAAACAGUACAGUCUGUGCAAACAUCAUAGCCAUUUGAGUUUUCCUCCCUUUAACAUGCUGUAUCUUUAUCAGUAGAACUAUGUAGAUAAAGAAUCUAUAUCAAGUGAAACUUUAUCUAAAAUAUGGUAUCUGUUUUAUGUCAAAGCUGGCUGAUAUUAUAGCUUUGAUCUUUCAGCUAGGGCAACGAGACCAGGAUUUUUAAUAACUCGUACUGGACAGAGUGAAGCGUCUCUCUGGGAAAACAGGAGGGACAUUGUUAAUCUGUUUCUCAACCACAGUGAGUUAUAGUAGAUCUUUAAUCUGAAGAGGACACGUUCUGGACUGGAAUAAAGCACUCAAGUGCCAGCCA
ensembl:lncRNA